rnacentral:rRNA from 1 species
ACCAGGUCUUGACAUCUUGCGCCAACCCUAGAGAUAGGGCGUUUCCUUCGGGAACGCAAUGACAGGUGGUGCAUGGUCGUCGUCAGCUCGUGUCGUGAGAUGUUGGGUUAAGUCCCGCAACGAGCGCAACCUUUGUUACUAGUUGCCAGCAUUCAGUUGGGCACUCUAGUGAGACUCCCGUUAAC